rnacentral:piRNA from 1 species
UAGAAGAAGGUGUUGGGCCUCUUGGUGAA